AGGGAGCGUAGGCCGGAGAUUAAGCGUGUUGUGAAAUGUAGACGCUCAACGUCUGCACUGCAGCGCGAACUGGUUUCCUUGAGUACGCAUAAAGUGGGCGGAACUCGUGGUGUAGCGGUGAAAUGCUUAGAUAUCACGAAGAACUCCGAUUGCGAAGGCAGCUCACUGGGGCGCAACUGACGCUGAAGCUCGAAAGCGCGGGUAUCGAACAGGAUUAGAUACCCUGGUAGUCCGCGCGGUAAACGAUGGAUGCCCGCUGUUGGGCCAACUGGUUCAGCGGCCAAGCGAAAGCAUUAAGCAUCCCACCUGGGGAGUACGCCGGCAACGGUGAAACUCAAAGGAAUUGACGGGGGCCCGCACAAGCGGAGGAACAUGUGGUUUAAUUCGAUGAUACGCGAGGAACCUUACCCGGGCUUGAAUUGCAGAGGAAGGAUUUGGAGACAAUGACGCCCUUCGGGGCCUCUGUGAAGGUGCUGCAUGGUUGUCGUCAGCUCGUGCCGUGAGGUGUCGGCUUAAGUGCCAUAACGAGCGCAACCCCUCUCCAUAGUUGCCAUCAGGUGAAGCUGGGCACUCUGUGGACACUGCCACCGUAAGGUGCGAGGAAGGUGGGGAUGACGUCAAAUCAGCACGGCCCUUACGUCCGGGGCUACACACGUGUUACAAUGGCAGGUACAGAGAGCCGGUCGUAUGCGAAUACGAUCCAAUCCUUAAAGCCUGUCUCAGUUCGGACUGGGGUCUGCAACCCGACCCCACGAAGC
rnacentral:rRNA from 1 species